rnacentral:rRNA from 1 species
AACGGUGAUUAAUACUAGAUACACCUUCUUAUCAUAAGGUAAGAAGGGAAAUGUCUUUUCGCUUUGGGAUCAGACUAUAUCCUAUCAGCUAGUUGGUGAGGUAAUGGCUCACCAAGGCAAUGACGGGUAGCGGUUCUGAGAGGAUGAUCCGCCACACUGGUACUGAGACACGGACCAGACUCCUACGGGAGGCAGCAGUGAGGAAUAUUGCACAAUGGGGGGAACCCUGAUGCAGCAACGCCGCGUGGAGGAUGACGCAUUUCGGUGUGUAAACUCCUUUUAUAUGUCAAGAAAAUGACGGUAGCAUAUGAAUAAGCACCGGCUAACUCCGUGCC